GCCAAAGCCUGGCCAGCUGGGAUUCUGGGACCUGAGCCCAAGGGUGAGCUAGGUAGGUAAGAGUUCUUAAAACAGGAAUGGGAAUAAACCAAAGACAACUUCCUAGCAAAAUCAGCACUGAAAAAUAGUCUCCACCAAGCAUCAGACCAAAGGCUUGGACAGCGAGGUGAAAAGCAUACCGAAGAUGUUGCGGUGGCCUCCAGACCAGAGCAGGGAAGCCGGGGACCCCCAGCCAGUGACACUCCACCCAGGUCUCCCUCAGCCACGCUGGCAUGGCCCAGAUCCCCUGAGUUAUAGCUUGUACCUGCAUCCGGUGGUUCCCGAGCUCUGGUACUGCACCCAAGAAGAAUAAGGAUACUCUGGACAUUGAAGGGAACCAAGGGUGGCUAAUAUCAGAAGAAAAUCGUGCGAUGGGAAUGAAGAUCAGAAGCACAUACUGACCAGUCAACUGACUUUGCUGAUCCCUUGAAAAAUAAUGUCACGGGGG